AUUAGUAGUAGUUAUAUUCUUGAAAAUUAAAAAAUUUGGCGGUAUUUUAGUCUAUUCAGAGGAACUUGUCCUGUAAUUGAUAAUCCACGAUUUAUAUUACUUUUUUUCUUAACUUAUAUAUCGUCGUAAUUUGAAAAUUUUAGAAAAAUUAUUAAUUUUCAAGAUUUUUUAUUAGGAAUUAAAUCAGAUCAAGAUGUAGUUUAUAAAAAAGAAGAGAUGAGUUACAUUUAACUUAUUAUAAAAGAUAAUUAUUAGAAUAAUAAUUUGAAUAUGGAUUUGAAAGUAAUUUUAAUUAAUUAAUUAAAAUGAUUUAAGCUCUAAAAUAUGUACACAUCGCCCG
rnacentral:rRNA from 1 species